UACGGAGGGUGCGAGCGUUAAUCGGAAUUACUGGGCGUAAAGCGCGCGUAGGCGGCUAAGUCAGUCGGAUGUGAAAGCCCUGGGCUUAACCUGGGAACUGCAUUCGAUACUGCUUGGCCAGAGUAUGGUAGAGGGAAGUGGAAUUCCCGGUGUAGAGGUGAAAUCCGUAGAGAUCGGGAGGAACACCGGUGGCGAAGGCGACACUCUGGACGAAUACUGACGCUGAGGCGCGAAAGCGUGGGGAGCAAACAGG
rnacentral:rRNA from 1 species